rnacentral:antisense_RNA from 18 species
AAUAACCGAAGAUUACAGCUGGGUUCAGUGUGGGAUUAGUAAUUACACGUACAUCACCACCACCAGGGGCCCAGGUGUCAUAGACACCACCAAAGAACAUUGCUUUCAAUACCAACAGCAACGCACCACAUCCCAGGAUGAUCAGGUGGAAGCCGAUGAUAUUGGUCAUCUUGUUCUUAUCUUUCCA